CAGUACUGAGAGAGGAAAAAAAACUGCUGGCCUUCUCGGGACCGGCAGGAAGCAGUUUGCAGUCUCGCCCGGCAGCUCUUUUCUUUCAUCUGUGCCUGCGAACCCACUGCCAUCUGCUCUUUUGUGGCUCUGCUUCUGACUCCUACCGUGGCUUCUGGGGCUGUCCGCUUUGCUUUUUCAGAUACCUUGCGGGCCUUUUCCAGGCAUGCCUGAGGAUUUGAGGUGAGGUAGAAUGGGUGUCAUGGGAUUACUUUCAGUCAGGAUGUGGGAGUAUCGCUUUGGCGCGGUGCAGGUGAUGAAGGUGAGCGAAGGAAGAUUAGAGAGGAUGUGGCUGCCAUUGAGUGAUGCCUCUUAAGGAUCAAAAGUGACCUGACCGCCCCC